GUUUAUAGCCAUGCCACCCUGAACAAGCCCGAUCCCGUCUGAUCUCGGAAGCUAAGCAGGGUCGGGCCUGGUUAGUACUUGGAUGGGAGACCACCUAGGAAGACCAGGUGCUGUAGGCA
rnacentral:rRNA from 1 species